rnacentral:rRNA from 1 species
AUUGAACGCUGGCGGCAGGCCUAACACAUGCAAGUCGAGCGAGCGGCGGACGGGUGAGUAAUGUCUGGGAACCUGCCUGAUGGGGGGGGAUAACUACUGGAAACGGUAGCUAAUACCGCACACCAUCAGAUGUGCCCAGAUGGGAUUAGCUAGUAGGUGGGGUAACGGCCCACCUAGGCGACGCUCCCUAGCUGGUCUGAGAGGAUGACCAGCCACACUGGAACUGAGACACGGUCCAGACUCCUACGGGAGGCAGCAGUGGGGAAUAUUGCACAAUGGGGGCAAGCCUGAUGCAGCCAUGCCGCGUGUGGGAAGAAGGCCUUCGGGUUGUAAAGCACUUUUAGCGGGGAGGCGUUACCCGCAGAAGAAGCACCGGCUAACUCCGUGCCAGCAGCCGCGGUAAUUC